AAUGGCUUACACUUUUGAUGCUCUUAAGACCCAUGUUCCUGUAAUGGUGGAAUUGCUUGUAGACUCUGUGAGAAAUCCUGUUUUCUUGGAUUGGGAAGUCAGUGAAGAGCUUAAAAAGAUGAAAGAUGAACUUGGACAACUAUCUAACAAUCCACAAGGCUUACUCUUGGAGGCAAUUCACUCUGCCGGUUAUAGUGGUGCAUUGGCGAAUCCUCUUUUGGCUCCUGAAUCAGC
rnacentral:misc_RNA from 1 species